AUUGAACGCUGGCGGCAGGCCUAACACAUGCAAGUCGAACGGUAACAGGAAGAAGCUUGCUUCUUUGCUGACGAGUGGCGGACGGGUGAGUAAUGUCUGGGAAACUGCCUGAUGGAGGGGGAUAACUACUGGAAACGGUAGCUAAUACCGCAUAACGUCGCAAGACCAAAAAGGGGGACCUUCGGGCCUCUUGCCAUCGGAUGUGCCCAGAUGGGAUUAGCUAGUAGGUGGGGUAACGGCUCACCUAGGCGACGAUCCCUAGCUGGUCUGAGAGGAUGACCAGCCACACUGGAACUGAGACACGGUCCAGACUCCUACGGGAGGCAGCAGUGGGGAAUAUUGCACAAUGGGCGCAAGCCUGACGCAGCCAUGCCGCGUGUAUGAAGAAGGCCUUCGGGUUGUAAAGUACUUUCAGCGGGGAGGAAGGGAGUAAAGUUAAUACCUUUGCUCAUUGACGUUACCCGCAGAAGAAGCACCGGCUAACUCCGUG
rnacentral:rRNA from 1 species